GACUCUCGGCAACGGAUAUCUCGGCUCUCGCAUCGAUGAAGAACGUAGCAAAAUGCGAUACUUGGUGUGAAUUGCAGAAUCCCGUGAACCAUCGAGUCUUUGAACGCAAGUUGCGCCCGAAGCCAUCCGGUCGAGGGCACGCCUGCCUGGGCGUCACGCAUCG
rnacentral:rRNA from 9 species